rnacentral:rRNA from 1 species
AUACGUAGGUGGCAAGCGUUGUCCGGAUUUACUGGGUGUAAAGGGCGCGUAGGCGGGAUGGCAAGUCAGAUGUGAAAUAUGAGGGCUUAACCCUCAAACUGCAUUUGAAACUGCUGUUCUUGAGUGAUGGAGAGGCAAGCGGAAUUCCUAGUGUAGCGGUGAAAUGCGUAGAUAUUAGGAGGAACACCAGUGGCGAAGGCGGCUUGCUGGACAUUAACUGACGCUGAGGCGCGAAAGCGUGGGGAGC